rnacentral:rRNA from 1 species
AUUGAACGCUGGCGGCAUGCCUUACACAUGCAAGUCGAACGGCAGCACGGGAGCAAUCCUGGUGGCGAGUGGCGAACGGGUGAGUAAUAUAUCGGAACGUGCCCAGUCGUGGGGAGUAACGUAGCGAAAGCUACGCUAAUACCGCAUACGAUCUAUGGAUGAAAGCGGGGGAGUCGCAAGACCUCGCGCGAUUGGAGCGGCCGAUAUCAGAUUAGGUAGUUGGUGAGGUAAAGGCUCACCAAGCCGACGAUCUGUAGCUGGUCUGAGAGGACGACCAGCCACACUGGGACUGAGACACGGCCCAGACUCCUACGGGAGGCAGCAGUGGGGAAUUUUGGACAAUGGGCGCAAGCCUGAUCCAGCCAUGCCGCGUGAGUGAUGAAGGCCCUAGGGUUGUAAAGCUCUUUCACCGGUGAAGAUAAUGACGGUAACCGGAG